rnacentral:piRNA from 6 species
UCGUACGUAGCAGAGCAGCUCCCUCG